GACACGUUAGUUGCAGUCUACCUCCACCAAUAGGUCGCCAUCCCGAUUAGCUGCUAUCUCCCAGUUCAAGCACUUUUGCUGUCUGGACACUGGUUCCUGUGGACGGGGUGUUACAAGCUUCACUGUCUGAUAUAGAAGUGAUGAGCAUCCAUAAGGACACAUGCCAGAAAGGGAGUCUCUUCGGGAUGACAAACCCUCA